GUGCUCGCUUUGGCAGCACAUGUGCUAAAAUUAGAACAGUACAGAGAAGAUUAGCAUGGCCCUUGUGCAGGUAUGAAACGCAAAUUCACAAAGCAUUCCAUAUUUAA